UGACUGCUAUCGGAUUGGUACUAAGCCAUGCGAGUCGUUGUAGCAAUACAAGGCGGACGGCUCAGUAACACGUAGUCAACCUAACCUAUGGACGUGGAUAACCUCGGGAAACUGAGAAUAAACCGCGAUAGAUCAUUAUGCCUGGAAUGGCUUAUGGUUCAAACAAUUUAUUGCCGUAGGAUGGGACUGCGGCCUAUCAGCUAGUUGGUGAGGUAAUGGCCCACCAAGGCUAUAACAGGUACGGGCUCUGAGAGGAGAAGCCCGGAGAUGGGUACUGAGACACGGACCCAGGCCCUAUGGGGCGCAGCAGGCGAGAAACCUUAGCAAUGUGCGAAAGCACGACUAGGUUAAUCCGAGUGAUUUCUGUUGAAGAAAUCUUUUGUCAGUCGUAAAACCACAGACGAAUAAGGGGUGGGCAAGUCUGGUGUCAGCCGCCGCGGUAAUACCAGCACCUCGAGUGGUCAGGAGGUUUAUUGGGCCUAAAGCAUCCGUAGCCGGCUUUGCAAGUCUCCGGUUAAAUCCAGCUGCUCAACAGAUGGGCUGCCGGAGAUACUACACAGCUAGGGAGCGGGAGAGGCAGACGGUAUUCUGUGGGUAGGGGUAAAAUCCACUGAUCUAUAGAGGACCACCAGUGGCGAAGGCGGUCUGCCAGAACGCGUUCGACGGUGAGGGAUGAAAGCUGGGGGAGCAAACCGGAUUAGAUACCCGGGUAGUCCCAGCUGUAAACGAUGCAAACUCGGUGAUGCAUUGGCUUAUGGCCAAUGCAGUGCCGCAGGGAAGCCGUUAAGUUUGCCGCCUGGGAAGUACGGACGCAAGUCUGAAACUUAAAGGAAUUGGCGGGGGAGCACCACAAGGGGUGAAGCCUGCGGUUCAAUUGGAGUCAACGCCGGA
rnacentral:rRNA from 1 species